GACAGAGGAGCCAAGCGUUGUCCGAAUUGACUGGGCGUAAAGCGCACGCAGGCGGACGCGCGCGUGGGGUGUGAAAUCUGGCCGCUUAACGGCCAGGCGCCAUCCCAUACGGCGCGUCUGGAGUGAUGCAGAGGUCGAUGGAAUUGCCGGUGUAGUGGUGAAAUGCGUAGAGAUCGGCAGGAACACCCAGGGGGAAACCAGUCGACUGGGCAUCUACUGACGCUGAGGUGCGAGAGCGUGGGGAGCGAACCGG
rnacentral:rRNA from 1 species